rfam:Nematostella vectensis strain CH2 x CH6 NEMVEscaffold_231_Cont19842, whole genome shotgun sequence.
GCCCGGUUAGCUCAGAUGGUAGAGCAUCAGACUUUUAAUCUGAGGGUCAUAGGUUCGAGCACCAUAUCGGGCG